GUUUCUGUAGUUGAAGCAGUACAACGGUGGCUUUUCGGGCCACAGGUCUUGGAAAAUAAGCCAAGCAGAAACU
rnacentral:tRNA from 1 species